UGGCGAAAGAAAGAGAGAGAGAGAGAGUCUGUGAGUGAGUGAGUGAGUGAGUGAGUGAGUGAGAGGGAGAGGGAGCACACUGACUGGCAAGUACAUUGGACACGUUUGCGCUCGCGGGCUGCGUCCAUCGACACCACUAGGGUGAUCGUACCUCCGAAAGGGGUCUGUGUUGCAGUUAUUGCAACAGCGCACCGUUUUCUAACAAGCUUCCUCGAAUUAUUUGCGUCUCUUUUUCUUCUUCUGAAGUCAAGUCGAAUUGUCACUACGUUGGAUAAAAGAAUUAUAUUUUGUCGCAGCAAGUUAAUGAAUGAACUCUCGGUAUCUUUUUUUAUCGGAUAAAAACUCGCUCUCGGUUCGUAUUUUGCAAGGCCAGACCGAAAGGAAUAAACAACUUCUAAGGUAGGUAAAUUUCUUCAACAAUAUAAAGUAACUUCAUCGCCAUAUUUUAAAAUUAUCUUUUCAGCUAUCUUAUUGAUCUUCAGUAUUUGAUCUGUCAAGUAUUAACAUUACAGUUAAUAUCUUCUGUAUGUUUUAUGAAAAUUCAUAUACUACGUUAAUUGCAUCAUAUUUGCACAAUAUUUAGUGAAGUGUGGAAAUAUUGAUUAAUACGAUAUGACAUACAAAUCGUCUCGUUCUAUAAUUCUUUUAACGUAUUGGUAAUUUGGUAAUCUAGAAGACAGAUAUUUCCCAUCGCGUAGAAAAUGGAAGAACGUAUACAUUAUAAAACAAUAUACGUUGUAUUUGAAGAAGUAUAUUGGAUGCGUUGCGAUAUUGGCUUAUUAUCAUUUCGCAGUAAGAAUGUAUAAUUUAUAAACACAUGUACUGCCUGUGAAAAAGAUAUAGGUUAUAGAAUAGAUCAGGUGUUCAAGUUUACAUGUUUCAAAAUAUGGAAGAAAUAAAAAGUUUGAGAUCUUAAAAGAUUAUCUCGUAUAUAUCAUACUAGCUCAUAAAUAUAUAGUGUAUGUAUGUAUAUAUAUAUAUAUAUAUAUAUACGGGAUGUCCCGCAGUGAUACGGCCGAACAGAAGACGAUUCCAUGUCAAAAAAUGAGCCGAAAGGAAGAAAUAAAAUUUUUUCACCUAAGUCUUUGUUUUCGAGAAAAUUGAGUUUGAAAAUUUAUCAAGUGUGCUCAAAUUUAGUUAAUUCCGUAUUGGACAGGCGCGAGUAAUCGACACGAGGAUA